rnacentral:misc_RNA from 1 species
GGGAUUCAUAUGGCCACUUUCAACUAAUUUGUUGUAUUAAUAAACAGAAUGCAACACAUUUCUCGCUUCUUGCAUUCAAAGUUGAAAACUCGAAUAUUCUAGUAAACCCAAAAUGAAAGUCAUGGUUGCUUCACAGAAUGUUUAUAAACCAGAUGACGGUCGCAAAAUAUCGUGGAAAGCCAAGACACGUAAACAUACAAAUGCCCAUUUAUAACUCAAUAAAGUUGAAAUACUUCCAUGGCUUUUAUGGAACCUCGAAGAACAUAAUACAAAAAGAAACGAGAUGAUUGGAAUCUUGCGCAGGAAUGCCCUACAAAAUUACAGAAAUCUGAAAAAUCUGCUCGUCGUGUGAUGCUUGACUUGCUGAAGACACGAGAAUAACCCUAGUCUAAAAUGGGGUGGUUUGCCAGCUCUAUUUCAAAAAUCUCGAACUCCUCAAACUUUUUCUGAAGAAACUAAUAUCAACUCGUUGCCGUCACCUAAAACUUUAACAUCCCCAAUUUAAAUCAGAUUAGCCCUCUUUAAGAAUCUGAUAGUCCUACAGUAAUAGGGCCAUAUAGAUUCCACAAAAUCAAGGUACAUAUCCAUGAACCACUCUUCAAAUUCCUUCAUCUUUUUCCUUGAUAACUCUUUGUAGUCUAGGUUCUUAACGUUUAAGACAGGUUGGAACACACGAGCUUGUACAUCUUGUUUAAGCUUCCCCUGAGAAAUAUAGCUAGAGGCCACCAAAUAGUAAGUAGGUAAGUUCUUGAUUAGUUUUACUGUCUGUCUAAAGCUGAAGACGUAGAGAGCCCACAAAACUUGGAGCAUCUUGAUGUAGAAUGCUACAAUUGGCGGCCCCAAAAUCCACAAAGGAGUCAACUCCUUUGACACAUCAACCCCAUAAAUGACGUUGACUGCAAGGUACAGAGGGAUGCUGCAAAUACAGCACAGCAAUUAGCAGCACUGAAAUUUUCAUACAACAUAAUAACACAAGGGUAAAGCUGCUAACUUCUAGAAAUAAAUAACAGAAUAACACUCAUAUUUUUUAAUAUUAUCAAUCUUGCACAUAACAGGCAGUGGUUCUCAGUUUGUGAUUAAAAUCCAAUGCCAGUUCUGCGAGUUACAAAAAAAUUAAGAAGUUAAUUUUAAGUAGCGGAAUCAACCAAAUAAUAAAAUCUUCAACUAUUUUUGAAGCUAUAUUCUCCUUCAGCAGUGCAAGUAAUGAUUAAAAUCAAUUUCUCACAUUUUCUUAUUCUUUUCUCCGUGGAACGAUAUGUUGCAUUUAAAUUACCAAAUAAAAACAUUUAAUAGAUCAAUGAAAUUGCACAACAAGUCAUGGCAUGCUUUCACCAAUUUUUUACUUUCAUCUUGUAGUUUAAAACAGAGGAAAUAUCUUGCAAGAAGUGCACAGAGAGAAGCAGGUAAAGAGCCUUGCAGAUAUCACUAUCAUUUUACUUACAAAAUCAGUAAGGGUAUCUUUAUUGUUGCAUCUAGUCCCAAAAAGUGAAACCAAACUGGCUUUAGAAUCUCGUGUCCUUCCUUGGUUUGAACAGUAUUCUGAGUUUGUUGUAAUUCUUCACUUGAAGGUGGUUCUCUCAAAAUUUCAUCAGCCACUUGACUUGGGGAAUCUGUGCGCAACAUGUUCAACCAUUUCUUGAAUAAUUUAUGAAUAGCAGGUGAUCCUGCAAUCCCCCCAUUUCCAUCAGAGGUAUAAGAAACUGGAACACUGUGAAACUUUGGAGAUUCCAUUAUGGUCUCCCCACUUUCUUUUGGUACAUAAGAAAGAUUAACAGAAUUCUUGGCAACUUCAGAUCCAUUUGCUCUAUUUCCAGAUUCCUUAUUUUGUGCACUUCCUUUAAAGGCUGAAAUUUUCAAAAAUUUCACUUUGGGUCCAUGAACGCAAGCCCCUACACUUAAACAAAGAUUACACUUUGUUGGGAAACGCCUAUCUGUUCUUCCAAACAUGUGACACGUUGCUACAUGUUGCUUCAAUUUGAACCCUUUGCUCCAUGAUAAAGACCUCACUGGAAAUGUUGCAUAAGAGCUCUUCAUUUGAUGGGUCACUAACGCCAUUUUCUCCACUUUAAGCAUCCAUCAUUUACUCAACAAAACCUGAAUACAUGAAUUCAUGAACUCACCAAAGCACAAUUCUUUUGAGUUGUAAAUGAUAUUAAAUGGCAAGAGCGAGGAAGGAAAAAAGAAAAGAACUUUUUGCUUCUGUUGUCUUCAAUUUGGAUUCUGAUAAACAGAAUGGACAGAAAGUGAAAAGGAGAGAGAAAAUCUUUGGUUGAAGAAUUAUUUGGGGCUUUUAGAAAGGAAACUUUAAGCUUGGAUGGAUUUUCUUUUAACAGUGGAUAACAAUUUCACUACAAAAGCUUCAGGCUUCAGAGGUACAGUAAAGACCAAAGAAAGGAUAGAGGCCCUUGGUUUGCUCUUCUGAUCUAAACCCUUUUCGGCACUCCUAUUUAGUUCAUGAAAAGCAAUCUCCCAAUUCAG